ACAGAGGUGGCAAGCGUUGUUCGGAAUUACUGGGCUUAAAGGGCGCGUAGGUGGUGGCGUAAGUCCGGGGUGGAAGACUAAGGCUUAACCUUAGAAUUGCCUCGGAAACUGCAUCACUUGAGUCAGACAGGGGAUGGCGGAAUUCCUAGUGUAGCGGUGAAAUGCGUAGAGAUUAGGAAGAACACCAGUGGCGAAGGCGGCCCCCUGGACAAAGACUGACGCUCAGGUGCGAAAGCGUGGGGAGCAAACA
rnacentral:rRNA from 1 species